ensembl:lncRNA
GUCUCGGACACACACACCGAGAGAGACAUCUUAGACACACACAGAGAGAGAGUGACGUCUCAGACACACACACCGAGAGAGACAUCUUAGACACACACAGAGAGAGAGUGACGUCUCGGACAGACACACCGAGAGAGUGACGUCUCGGACACACACACCGAGAGAGUGACGUCUCGGACACACACACCGAGAGAGUGACGUCUCGGACACACACACCGAGAGAGUGACGUCUCGGACACACACACCGAGAGAGUGACGUCUCGGACACACACACCGAGAGAGUGACGUCUCGGACACACACACCGAGAGAGUGACGUCUCGGACACACACACCGAGUGACGUCUCGGACACACACACCGAGAGAGUGACGUCUCGGACACACACACCGAGAGAGUGACGUCUCGGACACACACACCGAGAGAGACUGACGUCUCGGACACACACACCGAGAGAGAACGUCUCGGACACACACACCGAGAGAGUGACGUCUCGGACACACACACCGAGAGAGAGGGAGAGACGUCUCGGACACACACACCGAGAGAGGGAGAGACGUCUCGGACACACACACCGAGAGAGGGAGAGACGUCUCGGACACACACACCGAGAGAGGGAGAGACGUCUCGGACACACACACCGAGAGAGUGAGAGAGACGUCUCGGACACACACACCGAGAGAGAGAGACGUCUCAAUCGAGAGACGAGGUGGUCUGAUCUAGACAGAGGAGAUAUGAACCAGGUCACAUGCCCAUAUUAUUUAUCACACACAGAGACCUUGUUUCACGGUUAAUAUUUGGACCCCACGGGGGGGGGGGUGUAUGUGUGUAGUGUGUGUUUGGUAAGUCUAGGUACUGUACGGUGUGUUGUAUUUUACCCGCCCCAUCCUAUUUCAGUUCAAGAGGGUUGAUUUGUUCCAUCUCAAACACACACCUUUAUAUAGAACAGAAUAGAACAACCUCUGGUCAUAUAGAACAACCUCUGGUCAUGUAGAACAACCUCUGGUCAUGUAGAACAACCUCUGGUCAUGUAGAACAACCUCUGGUCAUGUAGAACAACCUCUGGUCAUGUAGAACAACCUCUGGUCAUGUAGAACAACCUCUGGUCAUGUAGAACAACCUCUGGUCAUGUAGAACAACC